rfam:Colletotrichum chlorophyti strain NTL11 CCHL11_scaffold67, whole genome shotgun sequence.
GGUCUAUUAGUCUAGUUGGUUAGGACGUCGGAUUCUGAUCUUGCCAUCAGUUUCUUCCGUAGGCCCAGGUUCGAAUCCUGGAUGGACCU